GUGAAAGGGUUUAGAUUAUGAUGUCCUGAUCCCAAAUCAUCAAAAUUUAUCAUUAGUAGAGAUGUUACUUUUGAUGAAUAUGCUAUGAUUAAUCCUAAAUAGAAAAAUACUAUUAGCUCUGAAUUUGCAUAGAUUAAAGGUAACAUCAAGUAGAUGGAGCUAGGAGCAGUUGAUUCUAAUCCUUUGCAAGAUUUUACUCCAGAGUUUCAUUCAGAACAGAUGCUAGAAGAGCAAACUUCACAAUAAGAUGAGCCUUACUGCAUUGCCAAGCAUAGAC
rnacentral:lncRNA from 1 species